AAGAAUUAUGGAACUUUUUUCAGCUAUUUGUAGAUGGUUCAAUGACAUAUGCACAUGGAGAAACCCAGUGGAAACAGUCCUUCUUCAUGUAUUGUUCUUGAUACUCGUUUUCUACCCUGAGUUGAUACUGCCAACAAUUUUCCUGUACCUCUUCUUAAUUGGGAUGUGGAACUAUCGGUUCAGGCCAAGGCACCCACCUCAAGUGGAUGCUAAGCUCUCGCAAGCAAUAAAUGCACACCUAGAUGAGCUAGUCAAAGAAUUUGAUACGUCAGAUGAGCUAGAUGAAGAAUUUGAUUCGUUUCCAACAUCACGACCGUCAGACACCGUCAGGAUGAGAUAUGAAAGGCUACGCAGUGUGGGAGGUCAGUUGCAGACAGUGGUUGGAGAUUUGGCCUCGCAAUGCGAAAGAGUUCAAGCGAUCCUCUGCUGGCGUGAUCUAAGAGCUACGUUUAUCUUUCUCAUCUUCUCAUUUAUUUGGGCAGUGUUUAGUUAUGUUACUCCAUUCCAAGUGGUGGCAGUUCUGAUUGGCCUUUACAUGCUGCGCCAUCCCCGGUUCAGGAGCAAGAUGCCUUCAGUGCCUGUCAAUUUCUUCAAAAGUUUUCCGUCCAAGUCAGAUAUGCUCAUAUAAGAUGGAAACUUUCUCAGUACAUUCAUUCUUGUAGAUGUAAGGAAAAAUCCUUCCACGAAAUAAAUCCAUCAAAAUCAUAGCAGCGGACGGAAAAAUAACAUCGGCGAUGCUCUUCCUCCCCUACCCGCAAAAGCAUUUCAUCCCAGCAUUUUCUCAGACCCCAUCAAUCUUCUUUCGCUUUAUAUCUACGUGUAUUUAUGCAGCUUGUAUGCACUUCUAUUGUGGUACUUUACUAUCUAAGUAGUAAGAUCACCUAAUAAAAGAAUAGCUUGCCAGUAUUAAGCAAUUCGAAAUUUUUUUGUAAAUAAUAUAUAAAUAUCAAACAAAAAACAAGGCAAUUAAGAUCAUAGAAAAUGAAUAGCAGCAUCAACCAUGUGAAAUCACGCCAUCCAUGGAGAUCAAUUUUAUCAGUGAACUUAUAUUCAAAAUUGGUUACACACACGCUUCAUAAAACAACUCCAUACAAGAAAGUUACAUUUAUUUAUAUUCAAAAAAAAAAAUUCAUUUGGUUGACAAUGUUCUAAAUCCUAUGUUUAUAAGCAGGGCUACAAUUAUCAAGAAACUAACAAGCAUUCCACCCAGAAGAGCCCUAUCCACAACACCCCACUCGCCCGUAUUCCCUCCCAUCCAUACCUACUUUUACUUGGAUCCCAAGGCAAAAUCAUUUUCCACUCCUUUCAACUGGUUCUUCCGCUUCCUUAGCAACCAUCCAAUAACAUUUUGGCUGUUUAUAUCUUCUGCAAAUCUGUCAAUCCAGGAAACUUGGCCUUCCUCCGAAGUAUUUUUUCCUUCACAGCAUUCCGAUCCACAAGCACUAGGAUCUGGCUCAUUUGAACAUGCACAAGGUUCAUUUUGGCUAGAGUAGGGAGAACAUUUGUCCUGACCAACCUGACUAGAUAUUCUCCUGUUUGACGCUAUUUUAUCAUUUACUUGGCUGAGAAUUUUGAUAACUUCUCCAAACACAGACCACCUUCCAACAGAUGUUAUCUUCACCAAAGCUGAGGUACCCAGCAUAUUUUCUGUUAGGGAUGGCAAAAAUCUCCACGGGGACGGGUACCCUCGGGGAUUUUUCCCAUUCGGGGAAGGUAUGGGGAUAAUUUCAUACCCAAUUUCUUAUUCGGGGAAGGGACGGAGAAAUUUUUUUACCCAAUUUCUUAUUCGGGGAGGGGACGGGGAUGAGGUGGAAUCCCCAUCCCCUACCCAUUUUUCCAUUUUAAUUUUUAAUUUAAUUUUUAUUUUUUAAAAUUACUAGUAAAUAAAUAAUAAAAUUUGAAUUAUAAAAUUAUAAGUAUUGGUAAAAAUAAAAAAAUAUCAAAAUAUUUAUAUUAUUAAACUUUUAGGCCUAAUUAACUAAUUAAAGUCCUAAAUUUUUAUUUAGGACAUUAAAAAGACGGGACCGAUUCUAUUAGUCGAAAACUUUUGUUUUAAUUUUAAUAUUCAUUAAAUAUUUUAAACUUAAAUCUAUUUUUUAUUUAUCUUAAAUCUAUUUUUUAUUUAUUUUUAGAUGUUAUAAUUGCCCACAACAAAUCACAAUUUUAAUAUCUAAUCUAAUCUAAUAUUUGCUCUUGAUUUGCUUCGACUUAACUAUUAUGCUGUAAAGGGAAUAAUCCACAUUUAUAAAGUGCACACGCCACCAUUGAAAAGUUAAUUUUGAAUCUAAAUUUGAUUUUAUUUGUAACAAUUUUGUAUUAGGCUAUUAAUUUGUUCAUGAUAGUUUGUAUCCCUUGCAUGUUGCGUUAUUUACUAAUUUAAUGUAUGUGACUUUUGUAAUGGAUAUUAAUGUAAGAUAUAUUUCGAACUUUACUUUUGUUUGAAUUUUUUAUUUUAAUAUGAUUAAUUCAAAAUCGAAAACAAAAAAAAAAUAUUAGUUAUUCGGGGAUCGGGGACCCUCGGGGGGAUUAACCCCCCUUUUGUUCUAUUCAGACCUAUUUCUUUUCGGUUUUUUUUUGAAGUCUUUCUCUGCUGUACCGUACAUCCGCCUUGGCCGUACAGCAGAAAAACAACAAAUUAGAAAGGAAACAAUGACUUAAUCUGGGCCCUUUUGUCUUUGUAUCUAUACAAAAUAGUCUAGCAUUCCAUAAAAUGGGAUCUUUUUUUUUUUUUUCUUAUUUAGGAUUCCCACAGAAAGAAUUCGGGGUGGGAGUAGGUAAGAGUUAGUGAGCAAUGAAAGAUACCGAUUUGAAUAUCGGUGUCGGUCCAAAUUUCAUUAACCAAUAAUCCCGCUCUAUAUGGAAUGGAGGCUCUUUGAUUCUAACCCAAAUUUUGCGGUCUUGGUCUUUUUUUAAUGAAUAAUUGUAAAUCUCUCAUGUUAUUAUUCGGGGAGGGGAUGAGGAUUCUCUUAAAUAAAUUUGACGAGGAUGGGGAGGGGACGGAGAUAUACGCAAAAUAUCGGAGAUGGAUACGGAGAGAUUGGUCCCCUCCCCUCCCCUUCCCUCCCCACCCCAUUGCCAUCCCUAUUUUCUGUGCUAAGUACAAGUAUCUGCACAUAUCCCUUGGUAUGCCCAACCUUAGACAAAAAGGGAAUAUGAAGUUAGAUCGAAGUCAUUAAAUACCAUAACAAAAGAGUUGAUUAAACAAUAUUUGUUUUAUCGAAUUAUCAAGCUGCUUUGGUUCAACUAUCAUAAGAUUACUACGAGUAUAGAUGUACAAAGAGGAGACACCACUACUAUCGGUAACAGACGUUGGAAAACCUCUGGAAGCCAAAACCCAGUGGCAACCACUGGGGUCGUUUGAGGCUUUUUGUUCGUUAAAUAAGUCGGGGAUGACUCUCAGAUGUGGCCACGUGGAUUCCCUUAGUUAUAUUUUCUCUCGGGCUGAGCAGGGAAGAUAAGAUCGCGUGGUUGAUGCGUUCGGAAUUUGUCCAAACCAUAGGGCUCUCGCGAUAGUUUCCCUAUCUAGAAUCCUAUUUGGGCUUAACUUUUUUACUUUAGAUACCCAAACCCAAAUCAUGGGCUUCUGUCUAAGCAUUGAAUAUCUUCUCUCCAUAAGAUGACUUUGUGGUAUGUUUUGUUUGGUGCCCUGCACUCAAAAGGGUACGGACUAUUGGACUGUAAUUAAAAUACAAACUCAUGUUUGGUAAUAAAACUAAAAUUGCGUGAUUUGAGAAAAGAAAAUGACAAUUUCAUCCAUAUACUCUCACAAUUCAAUAAUGCGGCAAACUAAAUACACCAUAGUGUUUAUUUUUGGGAAGCAGUGUCUUUGGCUUUCCCUAAUGCAUCUUUUGCAGCCUCUUUGGCCCUAUGAGCCUUCUCUGAAGCAGUCUCCUUGGCUUUACCAUAUGCGUCUCGUACAGCAUCUUUGGCCUCAUGAUCCAUCUGCUUUUUGGUAUCAAUAAACUCGUGCCCUGUCUUUGAUAGAACCUCCUUCGCCUCAUGUGCCAUGCCUUUGUGUGGUGCCGGCACCUCGUGAGAAGCACCGGAGAGACUGCCCUUGGCUUUCUCAAGUGCACCGGCAAUCUUGUGCUUGCAUUUCCCAUAUGCAUCGCAUAUAAGCUCUCCGGGACCAGUACCCUUGUCGUAGGGUUUAGACCCUUGACCAAUAUCCGGAAGCAAGGAGGAGGCUUGUUUGAUGGUGUCCUCGGCGUUGUUUAAAGCAUCAGUAGCAGCGGAGAAUAUUUUUUGCUCAAUAUCUGAAGCAGGGGAAGCAGUCUUGGGGAUGUGAUAUCGGUCAUGGUCUGGUGGUGAGAUUGAUACUUUAGUGUUGUGUCUGCCGUGCUCAUCAUACUCAACAACCACAACUCUGUGCCCUUCUUUCAUCACUAUCACUUCUUCCUUGUUGUUCUCUUUUUCUAGGCUUGGACUUGGAGACCACACUCCUGCUGCCGCCAGUGAACUCGCUACAAGACAUAUUGCAACCAAAUUCAUCAUUUUUGGAUCAAAGUUUGUUUCCGCUGGUGUGCUUCGUCGAUUUGGGAAUUUUAAGGACUUUGGUUUUGGCGGUGUAGCAUGACAUUAGCAUACCCAAGCCGAACGCAGCUUGCCAUGUUGUGCUUGGUCAGCCGACGAGUGUCUUGCUCUGUCACCCCGUGGUGUUAUACGUGGCAACCACUGGGGUCGUUCGAGGCUUUUUGUUCGUUAAAUAAGUCGGGGAUGACUCUCAGAUGUGGCCACGUGGAUUCCCUUAGUUAUAUUUUCUCUCGGGCUGAGCAGGGAAGAUAAGAUCGCGUGGUUGAUGCGUUCGGAAUUUGUCCAAACCAUAGGGCUCUCGCGAUAGUUUCCCUAUCUAGAAUCCUAUUUGGGCUUAACUUUUUUACUUUAGAUACCCAAACCCAAAUCAUGGGCUUCUGUCUAAGCAUUGAAUAUCUUCUCUCCAUAAGAUGACUUUGUGGUAUGUUUUGUUUGGUGCCCUGCACUCAAAAGGGUACGGACUAUUGGACUGUAAUUAAAAUACAAACUCAUGUUUGGUAAUAAAACUAAAAUUGCGUGAUUUGAGAAAAGAAAAUGACAAUUUCAUCCAUAUACUCUCACAAUUCAAUAAUGCGGCAAACUAAAUACACCAUAGUGUUUAUUUUUGGGAAUGACACUUAGUGCAACUCAACACGUACACACACCCUUUCAAAAUUAAAAAUUAAACGUACCCUUUUUUUAAUUUUUCAUCCCUUUAUUAUUUUCUCAUCUAAAUUGGUUCACUUGUGGAGGAUUUUUUAUUUUUGAAUCAAAUUGAAGAAUAUACAUGCGGAAGGAAAUCAAAAGGACAAAGGCAAAAGUGGGAGAUCCAUAUAUAUUCUAGUGGACCUGUCUAUGGUACAGAUUCUGUAACAAACAUCUCCCGUCAUCCCACCAUCCGAUAUUCUAUUGUUUAGUUUCUCAAUCCACAUCCAACCACAUCCAACGGCUGAUGCUGCAGUCUGUACCUUACAGAUUCUGUAAGCUAGUCGAGUCCAUAUUCUAGUAUCUACUUUUGGUGAAGUCACAGUCACCGUAUUAUGCAAAAAGCCGGCAUGUGCUGUGACAUGUGGAUUUGAUGCCACAAACAAAAUUUUUAAAAGCGGAGGCCCAAUAAUGCUACACACCUUUAUCAGUGGAUUCCAUUCCAUUUUUAUCCAUCCAUCCAAUAUUAUUUAUAUAUAAUUCGUCAUAUUAUAUUAUAGUUUUGCCGAUGAAAUGAUUUCACUUUGUUGAGUUGCGUUGGGAACUCGCUGUCUUUAUUCACCCACCGCCAUCAUGGUCUCAAAGAAAACAAUACGGGGGUUAAUUAAGAAAAUUGCAAAUCACUCAAUUAUUUUGGGGGAAAAGUUAGGUUUACGCAUGUACCAUAACUUCUAUAGAAAGAUAUUUUAUUCCACCAUGUCCAAACAACCAUAAGCAUAUUGUUUGAAUGAUCCCAGCUAAAUACAUCCUUCAGUUCUGUUGUUUAGUGAGUAGUUUAUACUCUUCAACACAACAGGACCACUUUAAUAUAAAAUAACAAAAAUAAAAGACAAUGUAGUAGAAGUAGUUAGUUCUUGUCUUCUUGAAUUGGAUAUUUUAUAUAAACAAAAUAGAAUAUGCAUACUGCAUACACCGUCAUAAGUCCAACAUUUCAAGUCGAUUUUACACAUUUGGUAGGAGGAGUGUAAUAUUAUUAUUAUUAUUAUUUUUUUUUUUUUGUGAUAUGAAUAAUGUUCGAUACUUAUCAUGUAUUAUUAUUUAUAAAAUUUCUUAACAUUAAGUAUGCAUGAAAGGGAAAGGCUAACAUUUGUAUGCAUGAAAAGGAAAGGCUAACAUCUGCGUCCACUUUGUGACCCAAAAAAAAAUUAAACUACUACAUUAAUUGUAACUAUUCCAGCGUAUACAGGGCUUAACAAAUUUGUGAUAAGUGGAGUUGGGACAGUAGCCGACUCUACAAUUACCAUUUAUACGUAAUAGUCAAUGUAAUGUUGCCUCUAUUAAGAUUAAUCAUCUCCUCUGGAUUCUCUAAUUAUCAAAUAUUCGUUUGAAGCAACUAGCAAUCGAGCGAGUGGAAGUGCUCUAAUCAACAAAUAUGAAACGGUUGCGUAGCUGCCUCUCCAUUUCCUUUAGCGGUCAAAAUCUCAUCACUAAAAAUCGUGUAAGCAACCUUCUAUUUACUACCAGACUACUCGGUGCGCUUUGACAAACUUCCAAAGAAUUUGUGGACCAUGCUUUUGCAAUUUACUGAAAUACCCUUCUCUCUCCCAUCAACACUUGUGGUUCAUUCACUUGUUAUUAUUCUCAUCAAUGAUUGAUUGUAUAUGCAGUAUAAGGCUCCGUUUGAUAUAAUUUUUUAAAUAAAAUUUAUUUAAUUAAAAUUUUUAUUAGUAAAAUUUUUAUAAAUAAAGUUUUUAUUAAAAAAAUUUAAUUUUUUUUUGUUGUCAAUUAGAGUUUUAUUAAAAAUUAUAAAAUAACUUUAAUAAGCAUGUUAUUUUAUGAAAUGAAUGAAAUAAAAUUAUAAAACAAAUAAAAUUUUUUUAAGUACUUUAAUACUUUGAAAAAACUUUUCAACCUCUAUUUUUAAAAGUACAAAAUUUGAACUUUUUUCUAGUAUAGACAGACUAACAUAUUUAAUUUUCAAAAACUCUAGUAAAAAGACAUUCAAACCACAAAAAAAAAAAAAAAAUUGAGAGGAGAUUAUAAAAUUAAAUAAACACUUAUAACUAUUGGAUAAACUAUAACAAACACACACUAACUCUUAUAAUUGAUAAAGUGCAAGAAACAAAGGAAAUACUAAUUAUGAUUACAACCUUGUUUUAAGACCAAAAAUGUAUUUUCAAAUUAUAGUUUUGUUACAAAAUUUUAUUAGUUCUUUUUGGGUUAGAAGCAUCUCAGCAAUAUGCAAUGUGCUACAUCAACUUUAUUCAUAGGAAAAGGCCACUAUGAAAAAGUUGGGGACCCUUUUAUUUGGACUUUUUGUCCAUAGAUUGUAAAAUAAUGCAACCCACAAAAUAAGAAUCCUCCCAAUGAAGCAAAAUAAAUAAAUAAAUAAAUAAACAAAACAUAGCUCCUAAGCGAAUUUCAGUGAUCCUAUAUGUAUUAAUACUUGAAAGUCGGUGCUUGUUAGUUGAUUGAAAGGGAAAAAAACAAAAACACAAAUGUCAUUUAAACAUAGAGUUUGAGCUUCCAUCCCUUCAAAAUUCACAUGAAAUCCUAUUUUUUAUAUUUACAAUUUUUUUAAAAAUUACAAAAAAGAUUAAAAGAUUACAAUAUAGUUUUAAUUGAUUUUACAAUCAUUUAGAAUAAAGUAAUUGAAUUAUAAAUAUAUUUUUUUCAAUAAAAAAACUUAGUAUUAGGCGACUUAUUUCUUCAUUGAUUCAAAAUAUAACUUAUUUAUUAAAAAAAUAAUUAUAUUUGUUAAAUUUUAAAGAUAGUUGAGAUUCAUGAUUUAUAAAUAAUUUAAAUUUAAUUAAAUUUAUAAUAGUUCUUUUAUGUAUUUUUCUCCCAUUAAACAAUUAAGAUUGUAAAAAUAGAGUUUUUUUUAAAGAUAUUAAAGGGGUGUGAAAAACAUUAUUGAUAACUAAUGAUAAGGGUGCGAAAAACAUUAUUGAUAAGGGUCUUGAGUCUCGAUUAACCACAUCCGUUGACAUUUAGGAAUGGGUUCAGAAUUCUAUGUGAAUGCUGCCGAUUAGUGAUUAGAUUAUUAACGGGGUUUAAGGUGUGUUUGCUUCUGUCGAGCUUGAUCAGUCGCUCAGAAAAAAAAAAUCUUAAAUUUUUAGUAUUUUUUAGUAAUAUUUGCAAUAGCCUAAGUUAUACUUUUCGCUGUCGGGCGUCUGAGGUGGAUCAGCUUCACCGACAGGUCAAAUAUUGUUGGUGAUCAUCGAUUGAAUUGAAGGCCGAACUGUAGCUGAAACAUCACUCAAUCAACUUCGUGUACAAGAUAAUAUUUAAUGGCUCUCAACCAACUGAUAAAAUUCAAUGCCGCCAGCAUCUGAUUGUAGUAACCAGUGGGUGCUGCUACCAUUGAAUUUCUAUUAUCAUCCCCUCAGGAGAAAUUGUACAGAGCAGCACAGCUACAUGCAGAAUUCAAAUAGUUGGCCUCUCUCGUUCAUAUUGGAAAUCAAAUCAAAAAUGAAAUUCAAAAGGCAGGAAAAGAAAAGUCUAUCCGCCACACACGGAAAAAAAAAAAAAAAAACAAAUUAUGAAAUUUCUCAACUUUUUUUUUUUGAAACUAAUUAAGCAUCAGGUUACUGUAUUACACAGAGAUAUAUACAACUGCUAUGACAGCAUGUCUGAUAUUACACAGAGAUAUAUACAACUGCUAUGAUAGCAGGUCAUUAUACUGAUAUUACACAGAGAUAUAUACAACUGCUAUGACAGCAGGUCAUUAUACUGAUAUUUACAAUCAGAUAUAUAUACAUGAGACUUAUAUUAUUAUAUUUUUAUUCUAUGAAGUACAUGCCCAUUCAAAUAUCCCUCACGGAGGAGGGAUGUCUCUACUCCACUCGCAUUUUGCAAGGGAGAAAGACGUUAUAAGAAAUCUCCACACAAUUAUAUUUAAUUGAGGGAGGUUGAGUCCGUGGAGACUCGAACCAUUGUCCUCAUAGUCAUACUUAACUUUGAGGAUAAUGGUCUACCACUGGACUACAAGCCCAAGUGGCAAAUUUCUCAACUUUUAAAACAAAGGAGUACUAAUGAAAUUUUUUGGAGUUAGACCGGACCACAUCCACGUUUGGUAUUAAUAAUGGAUGUGCUGCAUCUGCUUAAUUCCUUGAAAAGGAGAGAUCCUUCUAAAAGGGAAUUGAAGAUUGCUUUUGGACAAACUUUUAUGUAUUCUUCUUGAUUCAUGAAUGAACUGGUCAUGAUUUUUGAUUCAUUUUCACCUCACCCCCAACCCAUAAUCAUAAUAAAUAAAUAAAUAAAAUUACAUUUCUUCUCUUCCGCAUAAACAUUAACUAUAUAUCAAGCCCCAGCGCAGCACCCACUUAAAUAUUGCAUUCAUAUCUAUAAUCAGUCUCUCUCUUAUUAUUUAUCAACAAACAAGUGUGCCCACCAGAAUCAGUUUCUAUCAAAGAUAUAUGAAUGAAUUGUGGGGUCACCAAAUGACGUGUUUCUGUCUUCAUACUCCAAAAUUCAAAUCGAACAAAACAUCUCAAUUUCAUCAUCACCCUUUUCUUCUUUUCUCUACCUGUCUCUCUCUUCCUCUUCACCACCACCACCACCACCACCAUUACCAUUUCUAUCUUCUUCUUUACUCCUACAGUCCUACUUUUUCUCUACAUACCUGUAGCAAUCCAUCUUCCCUUCAAUAGAUAUAUAUAUAUUUUUCACUAGAACAAAAAAUUGAAGAAGAAACAAUAAGAUCCUCAUACUAUUCAUCAGACCCAUGGCCAGAGUGGUAGUAGAAGUUGUUGAUGCAAGUGACCUCACGCCCAACCAUGGACAAGGAUCUGCUAGUCCCUUUGUUGAAGUAGACUUGGAUGAUCAGAAACAAAGAACUCAAACCAAGCCUAAAGACGUCAAUCCUUACUGGAAUGAAAAGCUUGCUUUCAACAUUAACGAUCUCAGAGAUCUUCCCAACAAGACCAUUGAUGUAACUGUUUUCAAUGAUCUCAAAGGCAGCCACGAUCGUGGUCACCACAAGAACUUUCUCGGACGUGUCAGAAUUUCAGGUGUUUCUGUCCCUUUUUCGGAGUCAGAAGCCAAUGUUCAGCGAUACCCUCUUGACAAACGCGGCCUUUUCUCUCGUGUCAAUGGUGAUAUUGCCCUCAAGAUAUACGCACACCCACUUCAUGAUGCCUCUCACUUUACAACUCCACCAACCAACGCUACUACCACUGCCAGUAGUCUUGAGACCGAAGAAACCCCACUCCAAGAAAUCAACACCAACAAGUUUGGCGAUCAUGAUGUUAAAUUAAUGUUUGAUCACGAGAAGAUCAAAAAGAAAAAGAAGGAAAAAGAAGUAAGGACUUUUCACUCAAUAGGGACGGCAGCUGGGGGUCCUGGUCCGGCUCCUGCUGCUCCGCCACCGGUGUCAUCCACGUUUGGUUUUGAGACUCAUCAAAAGCCUCCAGUGGUUGAGACGAGAAUGGAUUUUGCCAAAGCUGCUGCGCCAACACCAUCUGUAAUGCAAAUGCAAAUGCCAAAGACGAACCCAGAAUUCCUUCUGGUGGAGACUAGUCCGCCGGUAGCAGCGCGUCGGCGAUACAGAGGAGGAGACAAGACAGCAAGUACUUACGAUUUGGUGGAGCUGAUGCAUUAUUUAUACGUGGAUGUGGUUAAGGCAAGAAAUCUUCCUGUAAUGGAUGUUUCAGGGAGCCUUGACCCUUACGUUGAAGUGAAGCUUGGAAACUACAAAGGCAUCACCAAACACUUGGAGAAGAACCAAAACCCGGUAUGGCAUCAAAUUUUUGCCUUCUCUAAGGAAAGAUUGCAAUCCAAUUUGGUUGAAGUUACUGUCAAAGACAAGGAUAUUGGGAAAGAUGAUUUUGUGGGGAGAGUUACUUUUGAUCUAUUCGAAGUCCCUCAUCGUGUUCCGCCUGAUAGUCCAUUGGCUCCUCAAUGGUAUAGAUUGGAGGACAGAAAGGGUGAUAAAAUUACUAAAGGGGAAAUAAUGCUUGCUGUUUGGAUCGGGACACAAGCUGAUGAGUCUUUUGCUGCGGCUUGGCACUCUGAUGCACACAACAUCAGCCAGAAAAAUUUAGCUAACACCAGAUCAAAGGUUUACUUCUCACCCAAGCUUUAUUAUCUUCGGGUUUUUGUAUUUGAAGCACAAGAUCUUGUUCCUUCUGACAAAGGGCGAGCACCGGAUGCUUAUGUAAGGAUCCAGCUUGGAAAUCAGCUGAGGGUUACCAGGCCUUCGCCUGUGCGAACUGUUAACCCGGUAUGGAACGAAGAGCAUAUGCUUGUUGCAUCUGAACCUUUUGAGGAUCUGAUUAUUGUGACUGUUGAAGAUAGGAUUGGACCUGGCAAGGAUGAGAUUUUAGGAAGAGAAUUCAUACCAGUUAGAAAUGUGCCACAUAGACAUGAGACCGGUAAGCUCCCAGAUCAUCGAUGGUUUAACCUUCACAAACCUUCGUUGGCAGCAGAGGAAGGUGCUGAAAAGAAGAAGGAAAAAUUCUCAAGCAAGAUUCUAAUUCGCUUCUGUUUGGAAGCAGGUUACCAUGUUCUUGAUGAAUCCACACAUUUUAGCAGUGACCUACAGCCCUCGGCGAGGAGCCUGAGGAAGGAUAGCAUUGGGAUUCUUGAGCUUGGCAUUUUGAGUGCAAAGAAGUUGAUGCCAAUGAAGAGCAAGGAUGGUAAACUGACUGAUGCAUAUUGCGUGGCCAAGUACGGGAACAAAUGGAUUCGAACCAGAACAAUCCUUGACACACUGGAUCCUAGAUGGAAUGAGCAGUAUACUUGGGAUGUUUAUGAUCCGUGUACUGUAAUCACAAUUGGAGUAUUUGACAAUUGCCACGUCAAUGGAAGCAAAGAUGACGCGAUUGAUCAGAGAAUCGGAAAGGUGAGAAUUCGAUUAUCAACUUUAGAAACCGAUCGUAUAUACACCCAUUUCUAUCCCUUGUUGGUACUCACGCCUUCUGGUUUGAAGAAAAAUGGGGAACUUCAUUUGGCUUUAAGGUUUACGUGUACAGCUUGGGUAAACAUGAUGACAAAAUAUGGAAUGCCGUUGCUUCCCAAAAUGCAUUAUGUCCAACCAAUACCUGUUAUACUCAUUGAUAGGCUACGGCAUCAAGCAAUGCAGAUAGUUGCGGCAAGGCUGGGAAGAGCAGAGCCACCCCUUAGGCGCGAGGUAGUGGAGUAUAUGCUGGAUGUGGAUUACCAUAUGUGGAGUUUGAGGAAAAGCAAAGCCAAUUUUCACAGAAUUAUGGAACUUCUUUCGGGGCUUACAGCUAUUUGUAGAUGGUUCAAUGACAUAUGCACAUGGAGAAACCCAGUGACAACAAUCCUUGUACAUGUAUUGUUCUUGAUACUCGUUUGCUACCCUGAGUUGAUACUGCCAACAAUUUUCCUGUACCUCUUCGUAAUUGGGAUGUGGAACUAUCGGUUGAGGCCAAGGCACCCGCCUCACAUGGAUGCUAAGCUCUCGCAAGCAAUAAAUGCACACCCAGAUGAGCUAGACGAAGAAUUUGAUUCGUUUCCAACAAAACGACCAUCAGACAUCGUUAGGAUGAGAUAUG
rnacentral:lncRNA from 1 species